rnacentral:rRNA from 1 species
UGCAAGUCGAGCGGAGAGAGGUAGCUUGCUACUGAUCUUAGCGGCGGACGGGUGAGUAAUGCUUAGGAAUCUGCCUAUUAGUGGGGGACAACAUUUCGAAAGGAAUGCUAAUACCGCAUACGUCCUACGGGAGAAAGCAGGGGAUCUUCGGACCUUGCGCUAAUAGAUGAGCCUAAGUCGGAUUAGCUAGUUGGUGGGGUAAAGGCCUACCAAGGCGACGAUCUGUAGCGGGUCUGAGAGGAUGAUCCGCCACACUGGGACUGAGACACGGCCCAGACUCCUACGGGAGGCAGCAGUGGGGAAUAUUGGACAAUGGGCGCAAGCCUGAUCCAGCCAUGCCGCGUGUGUGAAGAAGGCCUUAUGGUUGUAAAGCACUUUAAGCGAGGAGGAGGCUACUUUAGUUAAUACCUAGAGAUAGUGGACGUUACUCGCAGAAUAAGCACCGGCUAACUCUGUGCCAGCAGCCGCGGUAAUACAGAGGGUGCAAGCGUUAAUCGGAUUUACUGGGCGUAAAGCGCGCGUAGGCGGCUAAUUAAGUCAAAUGUGAAAUCCCCGAGCUUAACUUGGGAAUUGCAUUCGAUACUGGUUAGCUAGAGUGUGGGAGAGGAUGGUAGAAUUCCAGGUGUAGCGGUGAAAUGCGUAGAGAUCUGGAGGAAUACCGAUGGCGAAGGCAGCCAUCUGGCCUAACACUGACGCUGAGGUGCGAAAGCAUGGGGAGCAAACAGGAUUAGAUACCCUGGUAGUCCAUGCCGUAAACGAUGUCUACUAGCCGUUGGGGCCUUUGAGGCUUUAGUGGCGCAGCUAACGCGAUAAGUAGACCGCCUGGGGAGUACGGUCGCAAGACUAAAACUCAAAUGAAUUGACGGGGGCCCGCACAAGCGGUGGAGCAUGUGGUUUAAU